rnacentral:lncRNA from 1 species
AUUUGUGCUGGCUUACCUCAUCCUUAUAACUACAGCUUGUUCCCCAGAGAUGUUGAAAUAUGCAUUUUAACUUGAAGUCACCUGUGAAGCAUGAGGUUGAGACUACCUUGAAAGUCAACAAGCAAGGUGUUCUCAGCUUUCUGGGAAGAUACCAGGACAAAUCCAGUGACAUAGACUUCAGACAUCUUUUACAUGUGAAUAUGAUGCACUCAUUCCAGCUUGAGUAUCCACAAGCAAUGGGCCUAAGUGGGGAGCUAUUUUCUAGGCGGACCAAUCCAGAACAUUUUGACUACAGGGUGAACGUAAAAGCGAUCAUCAACAAGACCAUGUCUUCACAGGCCCAAGCAGCACUGAAGAGUUGUGAUGAAAACAAGCUCAAUGGCUCUCUUUACCUUCAUUUUAAUGGAGGGGAUGUGCUGAUGCUGGAAGUUGAUAUGAACAAAGAAAAUAGGAAGAAUGCUAGAGGUGUUGAACUGAGGGCUUUUCUCCACCAAGCAAUCCUUACAAGCCCUGAAUCAGUACAGCUCCAGCUCAUGUGCAAAAUGUUUCCAUCGAGACUUCUGAUAUCUUCUGUGAUAAAAUUUAAUGAGAAUGGGCUUCAUGUGGGAGCCCAUUUCAUGGGAGCCAGACAGCAGAAAGUUGGUUUUGUCUUGUCCCUAAAUGGAAGAGUCCAACACACGUUUUCUGGAUUCAAGACUAUACCUCAUCUCCUUUCUCUGAAUGGAUUACUAAAGCACAAAAACAACAUUCACAAUGGUAACAUCAAUUUGAUGAUCAACAAUGCACUGUAUGGAUUCCAUCUCAGGAGCAGAAAUGUGUUUGGGAACAUCACCAUACGCAAUAUCACUUUCACUAUGUUUCAGAAUGGCAGUCAGGCAAUCCCAGUGGAAGCAAAACUGACAGGACACCUGGAGCUGAGUAAAGAGAUGAAAAGAGGUCUAGUUAGCUUCCACAUGGAUGAGAAGGCCCUUUUUGUAGAUUUUUCCAAAGUCAUGAGUCAUGGACACAAUAGAGUCUCUGGGACUUUCACACAUAAUAUCAGCUCUUUAAACAAUGCAGGAUUGCCCUCAGAUGGCGUUCUCACCAUGAUAUAUGAACACGGAACAGGAAAUCACACCAUUACUGUAGUCCUGCAGAGCGGCAGUGAAAGAAUUUCCACUGUAUUUGGAGGUCACAGGCUGUCCACAGAACCUCCUAAAUCCCAUCUGUCUGUGAGCACAACGUCACAAAGAUAA